UACGUAGGGGGCAAGCGUUAUCCGGAUUCACUGGGCGUAAAGGGAGCGCAGGCGGCGCGGCAAGUCUGAUGUGAAAGCCCGGGGCUCAACCCCGGGUCUGCAUUGGAAACUGUCGAGCUAGAGUGUCGGAGGGGUAAGCGGAAUUCCUAGUGUAGCGGUGAAAUGCGUAGAUAUUAGGAGGAACACCAGUGGCGAAGGCGGCUUACUGGACGAUGACUGACGCUGAGGCUCGAAAGCGUGGGGAG
rnacentral:rRNA from 1 species